GAUGAACGCUAGCUACAGGCUUAACACAUGCAAGUCGAGGGUCAGCAUUUCAGUUUGCUUGCAAACUGGAGAUGGCGACCGGCGCACGGGUGAGUAACACGUAUCCAACCUGCCGAUAACUCGGGGAUAGCCUUUCGAAAGAAAGAUUAAUACCCGAUGGUAUAAUCAGACCGCAUGGUCUUGUUAUUAAAGAAUUUCGGUUAUCGAUGGGGAUGCGUUCCAUUAGGCAGUUGGUGAGGUAACGGCUCACCAAACCUUCGAUGGAUAGGGGUUCUGAGAGGAAGGUCCCCCACAUUGGAACUGAGACACGGUCCAAACUCCUACGGGAGGCAGCAGUGAGGAAUAUUGGUCAAUGGGCGCAGGCCUGAACCAGCCAAGUAGCGUGAAGGAUGACUGCCCUAUGGGUUGUAAACUUCUUUUAUAUGGGAAUAAAGUUUUCCACGUGUGGGAUUUUGUAUGUACCAUAUGAAUAAGGAUCGGCUAACUCCGUGCCAGCAGCCGCGGUAAUACGGAGGAUCCGAGCGUUAUCCGGAUUUAUUGGGUUUAAAGGGAGCGUAGGUGGACAGUUAAGUCAGUUGUGAAAGUUUGCGGCUCAACCGUAAAAUUGCAGUUGAUACUGGCUGUCUUGAGUACAGUAGAGGUGGGCGGAAUUCGUGGUGUAGCGGUGAAAUGCUUAGAUAUCACGAAGAACUCCGAUUGCGAAGGCAGCUCACUGGGACUGCAAACUGACACUGAUGCUCGAAAGUGUGGGUAUCAAACAGGAUUAGAUACCCUGGUAGUCCACACAGUAAACGAUGAAUACUCGCUGUUUGCGAUAUACAGUAAGCGGCCAAGCGAAAGCAUUAAGUAUUCCACCUGGGGAGUACGCCGGCAACGGUGAAACUCAAAGGAAUUGACGGGGGCCCGCACAAGCGGAGGAACAUGUGGUUUAAUUCGAUGAUACGCGAGGAACCUUACCCGGGCUUAAAUUGCAUUUGAAUAUAUUGGAAACAGUAUAGCCGUAAGGCAAAUGUGAAGGUGCUGCAUGGUUGUCGUCAGCUCGUGCCGUGAGGUGUCGGCUUAAGUGCCAUAACGAGCGCAACCCUUAUCUUUAGUUACUAACAGGUCAUGCUGAGGACUCUAGAGAGACUGCCGUCGUAAGAUGUGAGGAAGGUGGGGAUGACGUCAAAUCAGCACGGCCCUUACGUCCGGGGCUACACACGUGUUACAAUGGGGGGUACAGAAGGCAGCUACCUGGUGACAGGAUGCUAAUCCCAAAAGCCUCUCUCAGUUCGGAUCGAAGUCUGCAACCCGACUUCGUGAAGCUGGAUUCGCUAGUAAUCGCGCAUCAGCCAUGGCGCGGUGAAUACGUUCCCGGGCCUUGUACACACCGCCCGUCAAGCCAUGAAAGCCGGGGGUACCUGAAGUACGUAACCGCAAGGAGCGUCCUAGGGUAAAACUGGUAA
rnacentral:rRNA from 1 species